rnacentral:rRNA from 1 species
UAUUACCAAGUUACUUAGGGUUUAGUAUUGCCUAGCUUAACAUAUUACUAUGCUUACACCUGCAACCUAUUAAAACUGUGAUCUACAGUUACCUUAAUAAAGAAUCGUGUCAAGAUAAGCUUCCCGCUUAAGACGCUAUCAGCGGUUAUCUUGUCCUAAUGUAGCCUUCCAGCCGUACAAUAAUUGUCCUUUAGGCAAUAAAUUAUAACUGGUAUACCAGAGAUUAGUCCACCGAGAUCCUCUCGUACAAUCGGCAGGUUCUUGUCCGAUUCUAAUUCCAUUAGUAGAUAGGAACCGUACUGUCUCACGACGUACUUACUAUUUUGUUAUCAUAGAAACAUUUAAUUUCUAUUUCCAUUUCUUACGAAAUGGUACAGACUAUGUCAUAAUAUAUUAUAAAUUAUAUUAAAUUUUGUUUAAAAUUUUACUAUAGUCAAAUUUUUUAUCUGUAACAUUUAAACCUACUCUAUAAUACAUACUAGGAUGUAAAUAAGGUAGAACUAAUUGUCGAGUUUUAUUUAAUUCAUCUUCAUGAAUUCGAAUAAUAAAUUGGUCUUUUCGGUCUAAAAAAACUUCAUUAUUUAGAUUCAAAUUAUUUUUAAUUGUAGCAGAUAAGUUUAAAACAUCAUCUUCUGUAAAAGCAUUUGUGUAAAUUCUAAUCAUAUUUCUUUCUUUAAGAAAAUUUCCGUCUCCCAUAAUUAAAUGAGCUAAAGAAACUUCUGUAAAAUCACUAGAUAUAUCUUUAGGAACAAUUUUUUUAUUGUUAUUAAGAUCAGGAUAAAACACAUUAUAAUAAUUAGAAAAAAACGGUGUUGAAAUAGUUUUAAAUCUAACAGUAGUAUGAAUCUUUUCUUCUAACUUAAUGGUUUUAAUAUUAACAUCUGUGUCGAUGAAAGGUUCAAAUAAAUUAUACAAGUGUAAAAUAUAAGGUAAACCCUUCUCUCCUAAGUUUACACUUAAUCGAGAUCCACCAGAUAAAGAAGGUUUUUCAAGACUUCCAUCAGAUAAUAAUACUCCUAUUAAAGUUUCAUUUAAAUAUGAUGGUAAAUUAUUUAAUCUAUAAUCUAUUUUGUAAGAAUCUAAUUUUAAUACUUUAUUUAAAUAUCUUUUAAGACUAUAGUUACUAAUUGUUGUAAAAUUUUUCAUUUUUUGUUUAAUACGGUAUCCCUUAGAUAAAAUUAAAUAAUAAACUAUUAAAAAAUAAAAUUAUUUUUUUAAUAUCAAUAGUUAUAAUUUAUAAAAUAUUCCGGGCGCUCGUGGAAGGAUUAUUGUUGGCAUAACUCACCUUCUAGUCGUUGAACGUUUACUUUCCAAAUGAUAAAUCAUUCUGCCGAAAAGCACUUCGCUGCAAAUUGUCCAAUUGGUUAAAUUGGAUGUUCUUGCAAUUCACCCGGUUUUCAAAUAAUUUGAUUAAUAUUAUAUAAACUAUUUGGGGCUAGUUUAUUUAACCCAACUCACGUACCACUUUACUCGGCGAACAGCCGAACCCUUGGGAGCGCCUACACCCCCAGGAUGUGAUGAGUCGACAUCGCUAAUUUAAUGUUACCCAAUACACCUCCAAUAUCAAUUAGUUAUUAACCCCUAACCCUCCCAAUUAAUCUAAUGAUUAAUUCACUAUUUAUUGAGUAUGGUGGUUAUUUUUUAUUAGGUAAUUUAUACGUCAUAGAAGGGAUUACAUGAGGUUUAACUAAAUCAUAGAAUUUAUCAUAUGACUUAGUUGAGAUAUUAAUUCUCCAACCUUUACUAUCCUUAUUGGCAACUCCAAUAAUACCAAAUUUGGUAUUUAAGAUAGAGAUUAGUAAAUCCACUUCGUCUCUUGUGAAACUUUCAGAACAAAAUCUAACUCCUGCUACUUUAUCUCCCCAUUUUCUUGAUCCGUCAUCCAUAAACCAAUAUGCUAAAGAUUUAUCAGUUAUCCAAUCUCCAAUUUGAGGUGGAAUCACUUUAGAUCUUCUGUUAUUAAGAUUAAGAGGAUAGAAUGCAUUACCCAACUCUGCGAAUUGGGCAAAUGUUAAAGUAUUAAAGUACCAUUUAUUAUAGACUUUACCGUCCUUAGUAGUUUCAUUAUUAGUUCCUAGAUUCAUAUCCGUCCAUGGAUCUAAUAAUGUUCUUAAAUGUUGAAUGUAUUCAAGAUGGUUAUUACCUCCUUGAACAAUUCUUAAUCUUCAUGUUUUACCAUGUUGAGUUAAUGUUUGUAGAUUGGCAUCACCUAGUAAUAAUCCUACGAUGAUUCCUCUCAUACCAUUAGUUAGUACUAAUGAUUCUUUAUACAAUUUUAACUUUUUAUUCAUGCUGUUAAUAAUUUAUAGGGCCGAGUCAUUAGUAUCUCCCUUGCGACUAUUUAAUAAUGUGGUUGAUUGAUGGAAUAAAUUACUUAAAUCAAAAGUUGACAUAAGAUUUAUUCCUUCUUAUAAAUUAUUUGACAUAAAGAUUAAUAACACAAAACGUAUAAAUUAUCAUAUUACUUUACCAGGUUAAUAUUGAUAAUGGUGUAUUGAGGGAAUAUUGUUAUAUCCCUCAAUUAUUCUCAUAAUUGUUCAGAUCAUAUCUUUAUCCGUGGGCCCGACGGGCGGGCCCAUGUCCCUUGUGGCCUGGGGUUGCCCCCGGCGGGACUAAUUUCAUUUAAGUCCUUGAAUAUUAGGAUAUUGGCGUGUGAUCGUUGAGGAUCCCAAAUAAUCUAUUUGGUUCCCUGCUGAUUGUCUAUUGUUACAUCUCUAAGAUUGUCACCAUUGUAGGUACUUAGAGUUUUAAGAUAUUCCAGCAUACAGCCAAAGUCUAUCUCAGUGUUACCACCGAGACUCCCCGAUGUUUUUUUUGAGGUGCCAAACCAAUCUGUCAAUAUGGACUCUCGAGAUUGAUCAGCCUGUUAUCCCUAGCGUAGCUUUUAUUCGUUGAGCGAUGGCCAUUCCAUAAUGGACCACCGGAUCACUAUGACCUACUUGCGUAUCUGUAUGACUUGUCAGUCUUACAGUUAAGCCGGCUUAUGCCAUUACACUUAAUUAGGCUAUCUUUAGCCCAUUGGUUUCCAUCCAAUUUAAGCCGACCUUUGUACUUCUCCGGUACUAUAUGGGAGAAAUCCGCCCCAGAUAAACUGCCCAUUAAUCACUGUCCGGAAUAAUUCCGUAUAGCGUGCUCCUAAUCAAGUCAAGGUAUUUCACUGAUGUCUAAUCGACUCCCUUGUAUUCUACACCUUAAUUAUAAGCACACAAUGACUAACUACAGUAAAGCUGCAUAGGGUCUUCCCGUCUAGCUAAUGGUAAUCCGCAUCUGCACGGAUAAUUCAAUUUCACUGAGCUCAUCUUGGAGACAGUAAGAGUAUCGUUAAACCAUUCAUGCGCGACCAUAAUUAGUGGCCAAGGUAUUUCGCUCAAAUUCCACGCAAUAAAUGUCGGAUAAACAACGGAGCCCCACUCAAUUAAGAAUAAGGCCGUUGUUAUCCUGGGUCCACAUCUUUCAAUGUGGCUUGGACUAUAUCAUGAUCUGUUUAAUUUCUAUUUCGAUUCAUUCUAGUUUGAAUAGUUCUAAUCUUAUCUAACCCUUCUUGAGUUAAAUGAAGUUUAUCAUCUAACAUUGAAUGAACCAAUUUAAAAUCUAAAUAAUCUAAAGACUUAAUAGUUAGUGGUGGAUAAAUAUCAAAAAAUGGAUAUAAUUUAGUUCUUAAAUCAUUUCUAUUUCUAAUACGAAAUUGUAAAUGGUUAGAUGUAGUCUGUGUGACAUAACCACAUCCAAAAAACUUAAUUAAUUUCAUCAUUAAUUCUUUAUCUCGAAUGUGUUGUGAAAUAGUAAAUUCUAAUGUUACUUGAUAUCCUAAUGAAGUGUUAUUAUUUUUUGAUACACUUACAUGAAAACAUCCUUCACCAUCCACAAAACCUAAUACCCAAUGUGGGUUAAGAAUUUUAGAAUCAUAUAAUUUAUUUGUAUACAUAAUUAUAAUUUAUAGGGCCGAGUCAUUAGUAUCUCCCUUGCGACUAUUUAAUAAUAUGGUUUAAUGUAAGGUAAGAUAUACCUUACUUAUAUGAUUAAGAUUACUUAUUGUAAACAGAUCCCCAACGUGUAGUCUCUGAGGGGUCAACAACGACUUCCCUGCUGAUUGUCCAAUUCUUUAAAUUGUCACUGUAAUCAAUGAUCACUAGUAUUAAAGACUCUAAGGAUUUUCCAGCAUAUAGUUAGGUUCAAGACAUAAUCACUUAUGUCAGGGGCAGCGAAUAAUUAUUCUUCUCCUUUAAUUGGAGCUACCUGAGGAUCGUUAUAGUUACAACCGCUGUUUACUGGAGGUUCAAUCAGCACCGUAUUAGUGCCUCUCUUGACUUACCAGCACUGAGCAGGUAUCAGUCUUUAUACAUCUAGUUUCCUAUUAGCAAAGACCGGUGUUUUAAGUAAACAGUCGUACUCUUCUAUUCUGUGCCACGAUCAUAAAAAUCGUACUCCUUCUCCCGAAGUUACGGAGUCAUUUUGCCGAGUUCCUUCAAGAUGAUUCGCUCAACGCCUUGGUAUAUUCUACCAGCAGACCAGUGUCGGUUUAGGGUACGGUUAAAUAAUUAGAUCAUUUCCUGAAUUUUAAACUAAUACUACACCAUUACUGAUAUAGAUUAAUAUUAAAACUGUUAUCUAAAUUAGUUUUUCUCAUCGAUUACUCCUAUCGGAGUUCACUCAUAUAGAGCCCGGCCGGGUUUCCCCGACCUGACUUGGGCGCCGAGGCGCCCUCGCUUUAAAAAUCUUAGAGGCCGUUACUUUACUCAUGGAGGUUGAGCCUAGCCAUGAAACCCUUCUGCUUUCGGCGAGUGGGAUUUUAUCCACUUUUACGUUACUCAUGUCAGCAUUCUCUCCUCAGUUAUGUCCAGAUAAGGAAACCCUAUCCUUCAACCAUGUCCUGAGUGUUCCGCUACCCUCCUACAUUCUUUAUAAUGUUGGGACAAGAUCUCGGUAUACUACUUAGACCCGAUACAUUGUCGGUGCCCUUGAAACCCCGGCCGGCGCGUAGCGCCGUCCGCUAAACUAUCUCCAAAGGAGAAGUUCUUAUAAAUACAGACCAUUGAGCUAUUACGCUUUCAUUAACGGAUGGCUGCUUCCAAGCCCACCGAAUGGUUGUGUAAUUUCAUGGACUACCUUAAUUUCACUUAGUAGUAUUUAGGGACCUUAAUUCUUGUUCUGGGCUGUUUCCCUCUCGACUAAAGACCUUAGCACCUAUAGUCUGACCGUCCUUUAUUAACUGUAAACCAUUCCGAGGUUAGAUUCCCAAACAAUAAAUGUUUGGGAAUCGGUUAAAUAACCGAUUCUAUUGAUAGAGCCAUCACGACCCCCCAAUCAAGUCCACAAGGGACAUAGUAUCCAGUGCUGUACCAGUUUACAGAUACGAAGGACAACAUACCAAAAUAUGUUUCGCGGAAUACCAGCUAUCUCCAGGUUAGAUUGGCCUUUCGCCACUUACCACAACUCAUCCAAGCCUAUUGCCACAGGCACUGGUUCGGUCCUUAAUGACCUGGUCAUGGUAAGAUCACCUGGUUUCGGGUCUAAUCCAUGGUACUUACCCAUUUAACGUAGUCGCUUUCGCUAAGUAUUUCUACUUGCACCACAGAUUAACUCGCUGACCCAUUAUGCAAAAGGUACGCAGUUAUCUUGUAUUUAAACUCAGAUUCCUGCUGCUUAUAGAACUACCGGUUCAGGAUCUUUUCACCAGUUACCUACUUACUUUUCAACUUUCCCUCACGGUACUCUUCACUAUCGCUCAAUACAUCAUAUUUAGCCUUAGAGGAUGGUUCCCCUAUAUUCAGACAAGUUAUCUCUCAUCUUACUUACUAUUUUUCUAGUUUAUCUUAUUACGGGACUUUCACCCUCUAUGGUUUGUCAUUCCAAACAAAUUAUAAGCUAAUCUAAAUUCUUCUAAAGAAGAACUUACCCAAUGGAAUAAAUCCAUUAGGCUAGAAAAUAGGCUAACCCGCUUUCGCUCACCACUACUAACGGGAUCUCGGUUGAUUUCUUUUCCUUCUACUACUUAGAUGUUUCAGUUCGUAGAGUUAUUAUUAUAUUGGUUUCCCUUAGGAUCAUCGUAAUUAUCAAAUCAUUCAUUACGAUUUUUGGUAUAAACUACCUCCUUUGGAUGUAUUGGCUAGUCAUCCCCGAUAGUCCCUUUUUCAUCUUGGUAAUA